CUAUCCAAGAGAUUUUAGCUCCAUAUACAAAACAAUUGACCUGAAUACAUUUUAUAUACUCAAAAGGCAAUAAAAAUUUCCCACUCUAUUUAUACCCAAUCUUGAUUAUGCAGAUGUACACACACAAACCACAAAUAUCUCUCAAAGAAUUCUCUCUCUCUCUCGGUUAUGGAACCAGAAAACAAACAUAACAUAGAGAAUUUAUCUUCUCUAACCCACAACAUCAUAACUUUGCCUCCUACCUCUCCUCACUCUCGUUUCCUCCUCCCUGUAACACAUAACCGAGCACACCCCCCUCUCCUGCUCGACUGGAAAGCCGGAACCGGCGCUGUUUCCGACGAAACCGGUGACCACCGUCGAGACCCCUCCCCCCCGUGUUACAGAUUCAACGACCACCACCACCACGGUUCGGUGGUGGUGCGGCGACGAAGAGAGAGAGACUGAGGGGCGAGAGAGAAAGAGGGAACCGGCGGUCGGAGGCUCGGACCGCCGGUCGGUUCGUUUAUCCGUUGGUCAACAGGCUCCGGUCGGUUCAGGUCUCGGGUUCGGCGUCUCGGGUUCGGGUUACAGCCGUGUUUCGGGUUAGGGGUGGUCGCCGGCAAGGCACGGCGGUGACGAUGGAUUUACCGACGAUGAUGGUGGCGGUUAACAGCUGUAGAUCUUGGUUCGAUUUCAGAAACACCGGUAAGACCCCUAUGACUCCCUCUCUUUUGUUUCAGAUCUGUGAAGAUCUCGGUUUCUCCGGUCAGUUUUGAUGGUGUUUCAGGUGGUGGUGAAGUACUCGUUUGUCUGAGUUUGCAAGGAAACAUGUGGUUUGGGUUGGUGUUGCGAGUCAGCUUGGUUACGGGUUCGGCUCGGGUUAGAUGGUAGUUCGGGUCAACACCCGGUCAAACUCGAUCAACGCCGGUCAACAGAAGUCAAGCAUCAGUUUUGGUCAACUUCAGUCAACAGAUCGGUCCGGGUCACGUCAGACGGUUCGGGUCAAGCGGCUCGGUCAGCUUCAGUUUUGACUCGGUCAACUCGGGUCAAACCCGGUUGACUCAGUCAACUCAGCGAGUCAACCCGGGUCAACUUAGUCCGCGUUUCGACAUGAAGACUUGGGAUAUUGUAGAAUGCACGCUAGCAAGCCACGUCUUGGGAACGACAUCACGAAGUCGUAAUUAGCUAGCUUUGCACAGGAAUAUUCAGGUUGUGUUGAUGAUGAUUUGGGAAAUCGAUUUACAUGAAGCCAUGGAUGAAGAUGAUGUCUGUACCCAAGCAGUUGCUGCUUCUGAUGUGAAGGUCAGAUUGGGUUAGCUACAUUUCUUGGUUAUACCCGUUCAAAACAGGCCAAAUUGGAUCUGAUGAAUGGAACAGCCCUCGAGCCACUUUCAAGGAUCUGUUCAUAAGUGACAACAAUAUAUAGACGGCCGGCUAAUUGGGUUGAAGCAGGAUUUGGUCGUUGCGGUUCCAACCAAACUGGGUACGGGUGAAAUGGAAUGUUUUAGAAAGAGAUCGUUUGCUUUGGCUCAGAAUGGGUUUACGACCUUUGGGUUUUAGCGAGCUCCACUCUGAGUGUGCUUUGAUCAAACUAGAUGCAGGAUGAGGUUUCAUACACCAGUGAUAAUGAAACGCCUUUGUCUAAUGUAUUAGAGAGUAUCACAAGUCAUCUUCUUCUGGUGACGUUAAACGUAAUCUACAUGAGGUGUAUGAUGUUGACUACACACUGGGAUGUUCUUCAACCAAACGUCGUGUUAGUGAUGCGAAAGAUGAAGCCCAAGAUUCGGAAGGCGCUAAGCUUCUCAUUCCAAAAAUCAAGAAGUAGCGUGUGUCCUUAGAUGUAUGUUUUGCUGGUGUUGAAUUUAAGACAACUGGUUUUUAUUUUAUUUCGUGUUGAGGGUGUUUUUCGAGGUUUCUUAUGGUUUUUGGAGUGGUUUUAAGACAAUAAUGAUUUGAAUAAUAUGGUUUAAUU